rnacentral:rRNA from 1 species
AUACGGAGGGUGCAAGCGUUAUUCGGAAUCAUUGGGUUUAAAGGGUCCGUAGGCGGGCAAAUAAGUCAGAGGUGAAAUCCCACAGCUCAACUGUGGAACUGCCUUUGAUACUGUUUGUCUUGAGUUAUAGUGAAGUAGAUAGAAUAUGUAGUGUAGCGGUGAAAUGCAUAGAUAUUACAUAGAAUACCGAUUGCGAAGGCAGUCUACUAACUAUACACUGACGCUAAUGGACGAAAGCGUGGGGAGCGAACAGGAUUAGAAACCCUAGUAGUCC